rnacentral:tRNA from 1 species
GGCCGGGUGGCGGAAUCGGCAGACGCACAGGACUUAAAAUCCUGUGGGAGGUAAUCUCCCGUACGGGUUCGAGCCCCGUCCCGGCUA